rnacentral:rRNA from 1 species
GACGAACGCUGGCGGCGUGCUUAACACAUGCAAGUCGAACGGUGACGAGGAGCUUGCUCCUCUGAUCAGUGGCGAACGGGUGAGUAACACGUGAGCAACCUGCCCCAGACUCUGGGAUAACAGUUGGAAACAGCUGCUAAUACCGGAUACGAGACGGAGAGGCAUCUCUACCGUCUGGAAAGUUUUUCGGUCUGGGAUGGACUCGCGGCCUAUCAGCUAGUUGGUGAGGUAAUGGCUCACCAAGGCGACGACGGGUAGCCGGCCUGAGAGGGCGACCGGCCACACUGGGACUGAGACACGGCCCAGACUCCUACGGGAGGCAGCAGUGGGGAAUAUUGCACAAUGGGCGAAAGCCUGAUGCAGCGACGCCGCGUGAGGGAUGACGGCCUUCGGGUUGUAACCUCUUCUAGCAGGGAAGAAGCGAAAGUGACGGUACCUGCAGAAGAAGCACCGGCUAACUACGUGCCAGCAGCCGCGGUAAGGAGU